rnacentral:rRNA from 1 species
GGAUGCGAUCGUACCAGCACUAAAGCACCGGAUCCCAUCAGAACUCUGAAGUUAAGCAUGCUUGGGAGAGAGUAGUACUAGGAUGGGUGACCUCCUGGGAAGUCCUGGUGUUGCAUUCC